rnacentral:lncRNA from 1 species
CAGCUCAACUUCCGGGUCAAAGGGGCUUGAGCCGGCGGCUCCCCCGUGUCCGCCACCGGCUGUCCCCCGCUCCUGCCAUUUCCGGGCUGCAGUCAUGGGCAUGGAUCCUCGAGCAUAAAGUGCCGCCGGCCCCCAGGACGCCCUGCCCAGUCUGGCAUCCGCGCCCCGGUGUUUGUCCUCUGCCUUCGGCUGGAAUGGAGGCUCCUUGGACCCCUUAGAAGUUGCCCCUCUAAGGACCUCAGGAAGGAAGCGGGAAGAGGCCUGACAAGCUGGGCCGCCCUCUCCCCAUCUAACACUGUGCCUGGCACUUGGUCAGCGAUUGGUGUGGAUUCUGGCUCUGAAAGAGGCUUGAGUUCAAGUGUCCUGUAGGCGUGAUUUUAAAUGACUUGUUUAGUUGACAGCGUUAGCUGUCACUCAUUUUAUGCUGUCUCAGGUGCCGUGUCAUGAAAGAUUUGCGUGUGCCGUCUCAUCGAAUCCUCACUGUAGUCCCAUUGGAUAGCUGGGGAAAUGACACACAGAGUGGAUAGAUGGCUUCCCCAAGGUCACACACCCCAGAAGUGGCAGAGCUGGGAUUUGAACCCCUCACUGUCACAUGGGACCCCCAUUUUCACCACUGGGCUGACAGUGCAGCCAGUGCUUCCUUUUGGUGACAUUUUGCUC